AGGAGGCAGCAGGCGCGCAAAUUACCCAAUCCCGACACGGGGAGGUAGUGACAAUAAAUACUGAUACGGGGCUCUUUCGGGUCUCGUAAUUGGAAUGAGUACAAUCUAAAUCCCUUAACGAGGAACAAUUGGAGGGCAAGUCUGGUGCCAGCAGCCGCGGUAAUUCCAGCUCCAAUAGCGUAUAUUAAAGUUGUUGCAGUUAAAAAGCUCGUAGUUGAACCUUGGGUCUGGCUGGCCGGUCCGCCUCACCGCGAGUACUGGUCCGGCUGGACCUUUCCUUCUGGGGAAUCCCAUGGCCUUCACUGGCUGUGGGGGGAACCAGGACUUUUACUGUGAAAAAAUUAGAGUGUUCAAAGCAGGCCUUUGCUCGAAUACAUUAGCAUGGAAUAAUAGAAUAGGACGUGCGGUUCUAUUUUGUUGGUUUCUAGGACCGCCGUAAUGAUUAAUAGGGAUAGUCGGGGGCGUCAGUAUUCAGCUGUCAGAGGUGAAAUUCUUGGAUUUGCUGAAGACUAACUAC
rnacentral:rRNA from 1 species